ACCUUUUUGAUGGUGUAGUGGUAGCACGCUCAUCUCCAAACGGUGAAAGGCGGGUUCGAUUCCCGCCUGAGGUC